AGCAGCCGCGGUAAUUCCAGCUCCAAUAGCGUAUAUUAAAGUUGCUGCAGUUAAAAAGCUCGUAGUUGAAUUUCGGGACUAAUAUGUCGGUCGUGCCUCGGUACGUACUGGUUUAUUGGUUUCUCCUUUCUGAAGAACCAUGAUGUCAUUUAUUUGGUGUCGUGGGGAAUCAGGACUGUUACUUUGAAAAAAUUAGAGUGUUUAAAGCAGGCUCACGCUUGAAUACAUUAGCAUGGAAUAAUGAAAUAGGACGUUUGAUUCUAUUUUGUUGGUUUCUAGGAUCGACGUAAUGAUUAAUAGGGAUAGUUGGGGGCAUUAGUAUUCAAUUGUCAGAGGUGAAAUUCUUGGAUUUAUUGAAGACUAACUACUGCGAAAGCAUUUGCCAAGGAUGUUUUCAUUAAUCAAGAACGAAAGUUAGGGGAUCGAAGACGAUCAGAUACCGUCGUAGUCUUAACCAUAAACUAUAGCCGACUAGGGAUCGGAUGAUGUUAAUUUUUAAUGACUCAUUCGGCGCCUUACG
rnacentral:misc_RNA from 1 species